rnacentral:rRNA from 1 species
UAAGGAAUAUUGCUCAAUGGGAGAAAUCCUGAAGCAGCAACGCCGCGUGGAGGAUGAAGGGUCUAUGACUUGUAAACUCCUGUAAAGAAGGAAAAAAUUCCCAUUAGAUGGGAGAUGAUGGUACUUCUGGAGUAAGCCCCGGCUAACUACGUGCCAGCAGCCGCGGUAAUACGUAGGGGGCAAGCGUUGUCCGGAUUUACUGGGUGUAAAGGGUGCUCAGGCGGAUUUGUAAGUUGGAUGUGAAAGCUCCUGGCUUAACUGGGAGAGGUCGUUCAAAACUGCGAGGCUUGAGAGUGGUAGAGGGAGGUGGAAUUCCGGGUGUAGUGGUGAAAUGCGUAGAUAUCCGGAGGAACACCAGUGGCGAAAGCGGCCUCCUGGACCAUUUCUGACACUCAGACGCGAAAGCUAAGGUAGCAAACG